UAACUGAUUGCGAAGUUUUGGCUAGCUUCUUACUGACAAAAGGUGUUCCUGCUGACGUUGUGGAUAUCUUGAAGGAUGAAUUGGUCGACGACAGGACACUUCUCAGAUUGACAGGCACUGAUUUGAGGUUAAUGAAUAUUAAAACCGGACCAGCAUACAAGAUUUUGGAAAUAAUUGAAGAUUCUUCCGCUAUGGUGGAGUGUAUUGUUCAAGAAGAUGGGUCCAUUAUUGCAAGUGAAUCAAACAAUUGUACUGAUGAAGAAGUGUCUCAAGAGAUCAUGCAAAAACCGAGCUGUUCAACGGAUUCUCCUCAAGCAUCAGUUUCAAAGUUGAUAAAGAAAGAAAGUGAGUCUACGGACAAAACUUUAUGAUGUUCGAUCAUGGAUCAAGGAAUUGGACAAAGAGAAUAAGUCAAAGAAAAGUUUAGUAAAAAUCUUAGAUUCAGGUAUUGUGAAAGAUGUGGAUUACCAAGCUCUUGUCAGAAAUGUUAUGUCUCACCUAAAACUAGAAUGUGGAGAUGCUUAUCCGUCUAAAGAGAUGAAAACUAAAGCAGCAAAGUCGAUAAUCACUUCUUUCCCAAAGCUAAAAUCUACUACUGGUUGUGGUUAUGAACAUUUUUACAAUGAAAAGUUGUCUUCUGGUUUUCUUGGGUGGAGGUUAAAAACCACGAGAAAGACAUUAAAAAGUUCUGAGAAGAAAAGGACAAGAGGUAAGAAGAGACCUUUGACAGAUAGUUCAAUUGUACAAGUUGAAUUGAGUUUAGAAGAUUAUGAAUCAAAAAUACGUAAACACAUUAACUAAUGUCAAUAUUAUGAUUGCAUUAAUUAUUGAUCCAUCAACAGGUUUCGGAGUUGCAGUUCAAAAUGCCUAAUGACACGAACAAGUUUUCAAUACUACUGUUAAUGGACGAAACCAGAUCUAAUAGGCAGCAAUGGAUAAAAGAUCCUGAAAACCAUUUAACGCUGAAUGAAAUUUUGAAUAAGUUUCCACGUUUUACUGACUUUAAAGGAGAAUUGAUACUUAGAGAAUUUCAAUAUCAGAUCACUGACAAAGUCACUUUCUUGGGAACGUUCCCAUCGUACUAUGCUCCACGGAUUCUGAAGUACUGCAAAGUUACAAAGCCACAGCUUUUAGAUCAAAUACGAUACAUAGCAGAUCCAAACAUGAAAGCCCUUCUAAUACUGCCAAAUGUCUUGCCGAGUCCAAAUUACAUGAGAAGA